rnacentral:rRNA from 1 species
GAUGAACGCUAGCGGCAGGCCUAAUACAUGCAAGUCGAACUGUGUCUUCGGACAUAGUGGCGCACUGGUGCGUAACACGUAUUCAACCUACAUUACAUUGGGGGAUAGCCUUUCGAAAGGGAGAUUAAUACCGCAUAAGACAGUACCUGGGCAUCCAGCAUCUGUUAAAUAUUUAUCGAUGUAAGAGGGGCAUGCGUCCAAUUAGUUAGUUGGCGAGGUAACGGCGCACCAAGACUUUGAUUGGUAGGGGAACUGAGAGGUCAAUCCCCCACACUGGCUAGGUGCAACGGGCCAGACUCCUACGGGUGGCAGCAGUAGUGAAGAUUGGGCAAUGGAGGCAAGUCUGACCCAGCCAUGCCGAGUGCAGGAUGACGGGGUUAUGCGUUGUAAACUGCUUUUAUACAGGAAGAAACGACUCUUGCGAGAGUCAUUGACGGUACUGUAUGAAUAAGCGCCGGCUAACUCCGUGCCAGCAGCCGCAGUAACAC